rnacentral:tRNA from 1 species
GCUAUCAAAGGACAGUAGUUGAUCCGUUGGUCUUAGGAACCAAAAACCCUUGGUGCAAAUCCAAGUGGUAGCU